UGGUCAGUGGAGUCCAGCGUCCGGGGC
rnacentral:piRNA from 1 species